GUCCUGUGCGCUUGGAGCGGUUGUGGCCACCAUGGAGGCGGCAGCGGUACCGCGACCUCGCCGGCAGUGCUGGGACCCCGCCGAGACCGCGGAAACGCCGCCCCGCAGAAAGAUGUCUUGAAGUAAAGAAGCUGGGCUUUCCACCUGGGUGUGACACAGCAGGACCAGGAGCAGCUGAGGAGGUGGCCUUGAUUUGAAGGAAGAGAGCCUGCAGGGCUAUGCUGCCACGUGCUGGUCGUUGAUGUCCCCCCACUGAUGGGACAGCUCUUCCCAAGUCCUGUGGAGGGCACUGACACAGCAGAGCAGGAGAAUCUGCUGGGUGGUGCUGCUGGAAACAUCUCUGAGGCAGAAGGACUCCAACAAAACACCUGGGCUUGAGGAUUUUGUGUAGACAGAACAUUUUUCUGCCUGUUACAAAGUGGUAACAGUUACAAUGUUUUAUUACAUGUACAUUAAAAUAAUUUAAAAAUAAAAAACCACUGUUUUGUCACUUUACUGCAUUAAGGAAACUGGGCACUCCUAUAAUUUGCUGUAAGAUGAAGAAGAUGUACCCAGAUAGCUAAAUUUUCACUGCAGAUGAUGCCAGUGGGGUUUAGUGUGGUAAUUAGAGUUUAAACAAGACACCAAGAGUGUAAUUAAUUACUGCACAGAUCAGCCCUUCAGUACUCUGACAGCCAGAGCAGCAAAUGCAGCUGCAUCUGCAGCUUGUUUGAGGCUUGCUAUUUGUCAUUUUGAUCUCAAACUUGAAUUUAAAGUCUGCUGCAGAGGCAAAGUUCAAGGGUUAGGGGGAAUCUUGGCAGCUUGGAGAUGCUUAAAAGAGUUAAACCCCAGUGUGUGAGGCCAAAAUUCCCAAUUAGCUUAAUUAUGUCAGUAGAACUGGCAGGUUCAGCACUUCAGUGCUCCAAACAUCCAAACUGGUGGUGCUGAGCCUUCUGCCCGCCUGGUGUCAGCAGUGAGGAAAAAUCCUCACUGUGUGAGGUGUGCUUUUUGCAAAAUGUAAUGAAUAAUUAAACUAAUUCCUCACGAGCCUGUGCUCACAGUGUUUACGGCACAGCUCCAAGUUGGAGAGCUUGGAAUUGGUUUUGCCUUCCCUGUGGAGUUCAGGUGAAGAUCUGAAUUGCUUUGAAUUUUGAUUUUCUGACUGGAAGGUGCUGUGAGCUGGUGCUGCUCAUGUGGCAUCACAGGGCAGUGUCCCUGUCCCUCCAAAAGCACAGGUGGCUCUGCUGCCCGAGGUAUAAACUGCCUGAAAUGUAGAAUUUCAGGAAUUUCUCUUAAAGUUAGUGUUCAGAAAAACAGGCUCAGUGUUUUUCAGAGAAAUUUCCUGGUCCUACAAACACACAGGUAAAUUAUUCUGGAUUUUUUUGUUUCCUAGAAUUGUUACUGUAGUACAUCCAGGGCUUCAUAAAAACAUUUAGCCUGGGCAAUGGAGUAGGUAAAACAUUGGGAAUUAAUUAGUUGCUCUUCAUCUGAAAGGAUUUGAGCACUAUGAAAACAGGUUACUCCUCUGCUUGAUUACAAUUUAAAAUUACAUUCUGUUCCCAGUGUUUUAAAAGAAACAAAAUUUAUUUUGCCUGAUUUUAAGAGCUUGUUUAUUAAAACAUGUUGAUAUUUCUUACAACAUGCACCGGGAAUAGAAAUGGGUUUAAAGCUCUCAAAAAGCACAAGGAUCCACCUCUUUUAAAUGUGAAUCUGCAGACCAUGGAGGUAAAAGCAGCAACAUGCCCUCAGCAAACAGAAAUAAUCAGCAAAUUGUUUAAUGAGCUGUUUAAUUUGCUCAAGGAAGGUUUGCUGCAACUUGUUUUAAAGUUUUUGCUUUCUAGUGUUAGAAUUCUCUCAUUAAAACAGCAAGGUUGAUCUGGGAAAACUUGAAUAUUGAAUUUACCUGGGUUUAUUGAAGGUGCAGUUGGUGGUACUCUUGGAGAUAAAUAUUCAUGAGUUUCAUUUUAGCAUCACUUGUUUAUUGUUCUAAUCAAAACCAAAGUUCCUCAGCAGGGAUCCUCUAGCAGGCUGGGGUUUUGCUGAGAUUAAUGAAUGGAAAAGUGUUAUUUCUGUUAGAAAAUGGUGCCUUUCAAACAUAACAAAUGUCCUCAACGUUUUACUGUGAUUUUGCAGGGGAGCACAGAUAAUUUCAUGGUGCUUGAGGGGAAGGGAAAUAAAACCAUUCUGUUUUGAUUACAUUUGGAGCACUUAAAACUUAGUGUUGGGGAAUAAACAGCAGACAAAAAUCUGGUUUUAAAACACAAUUAUUUUGGAUUUUCUAAAGGUUUAAAAAGAACAGUUGGCAGGAAUCCCUCUGGCACUCAACAGCAGCCAACAACCCUGGAUAAAUCUAAAAUAGAUGAAAAGAUUAAAGCAGAAAGAAAAAAUAUGCAACAAAGCAAAGAAUGGCCGAGUGCCAGCUUUUAGCAAUAAGAGAGAUGGCAAUGCCAUGUCUCAAAUCAGUGUUUGAGAGAAAACAUGGAGAUUAUCCCCAAAAUCUCUGCUGAGGGGCUGGAAUUGAGGAGGAGAGGGAUCCACAGGGGCAGAGCUGCCUCACUGUAAAUCACAAGCUUCACAUUCCACAUAAAUGCUGGUUAUCAUCCUCAUUUCUUGAUUAGUAUUGUAAAGCAAUCCUGUC